UACGGAGGGUGCGAGCGUUGUCCGGAAUCACUGGGCGUAAAGGGCGCGUAGGUGGCCGAGCAAGGUCGCGGUGAAAGCCCGGGGCUCAACCCCGGGUCGGCCGUGGCAACUACUCGGCUCGAGCACUGUAGGGGCGGGUGGAAUUCCGGGUGUAGCGGUGGAAUGCGUAGAGAUCCGGAAGAACACCGGUGGCGAAGGCGGCCGCUCGUCGGAGACCGGGACGUCG
rnacentral:rRNA from 1 species